UGUUCAUGUUUCCUUCUACACACGCUGCACCCUUCUCGAAUGAUCAUUUUUCCAGUUUGAUGACUCAUUUGCAGAUACAGUAUGAUUUGUGAGGCUAACGUUGUCCCUGAUUCCGUUUUUUUUUUGCUCUCUCGUAGGUCCUAGCGCAUCACAAUACCGGUGACAUUAGGACUGUCGUUGAGCAAGCAAGUAUGUGUUUGAACAGAGCUGUUCGCGUUGGACUUUAAGCAGAAGGUACACAAGUUCAAAAAGCGUUUCGUUUGACAACCACAAAAGUCGCGCCAAGGAAAGCUGCUAGCCGGUCAAACCAUCUGGUAUGGAAAUGGCAUUCAUGCAAUCAGAAACGUUACUACCUUCGCAGCAUAGACAAUGGGAAUGACACCCUUAAAUCAAACCUUUCGUUUAACCCGACGUACAUCAGGAUAAGCAGAUUAAGUUGGCCCUUGUUAGCCGAUGUGAGAAUCAAAACAAAUGUACGGAGAUGCUUUUGCUUGUGGUUAAUUCUUUAAAGAGACGCCAUGCAAGCAACAUUGCGAUAAGUGAAUAAAUUUUUAUCUGCUGGCACACAGUGCUGGCCAAACGCAAAUCACCGCUGGUAGGAAUUGAAUGAUUUUUUCUGUCAGGAGUUCUACGGCAUUCUUGAUGUCCCGACAUUUCGCUUGUUAUAACAACCUACGAUCCAGCCGUCGAAAACGUUUUGAUUAAUUUCAAGUCACCAAUAUGGACAUCCGGAUAGAUAGUUUGGUCGCUUUCGAUUCACUUAAUUCAAAGAUAUGUGCCAUAAUGCUUCAAAGCAAGAGAAAAUAACAAUUUAACACUAUAACACAUAUAAUACAGAAAGACAGUCGAGAUUUGUACCUAUAUACAGUGAGUCGACGAGUCGAUGUUCAUUAAUUAGGCAUUGACAGACGCCAAUGAUUCACCAAACGCCCCAAGAUUGAAUUUUUAUUCUUUGUUAUGUAAAGCUUUUUUUCCUAUAUAUAAAAUAAUAAUAAGUCCUUCGUUUUGAUGCCUACAAGAAUCUCAAACGGCUCAGGAGUUGCUCGCAGUUUUAAUUACUACUCACAAGCUAAUAUCAUUUUUUUCGUCAUAGGUGUAUUCGGCGAUACAUGAACUAGCCCAGAAUGCGUUUGGCGAUUGUAUAAAAAUAGGUGACACAUCGGAUCAACAAUUGCUGCUUCUUUUCAGCGAAUGCAUGCGUCGGUGAUCAUGGGAAGGGUCCAGAACAUGGUGCAAUAAGUCCUUCGUUUUGAUGCCUACAAGAAUCUCAAACGGCUCAGGAGUUGCUCGCAGUUUUAAUUACGAUACAGUUGCUCAUGUAAACUUUUUUCUUUCAAAGGUAUAUUCGGCGAUUCAUGAACUAGCCCAGAAAGGUUUUGGCGAUUGUAUAAAAAUAGGUGACACGUCGGAUCAACAAUUGAUGCUUCUUUUCAGCGAAUGCAUGCGUCGGUCAUCGUGGAAAGGGUCCUGAACAUGGUGCAAUAAGUCCUUCGUUUUGAUGCCUACAAGAAUCUCAAACGGCUCAGGAGUUGCUCGCAGUUUUAAUUACGAUACAGUUGCUCAUGUAAACUUUUUUCUUUCAAAGGUAUAUUCGGCGAUACAUGAACUAGCCCAGAAAGGUUUUGGCGAUUGUAUAAAAAUAGGUCACACGUCGGAUCAACAAUUGCUG